rnacentral:tRNA from 1 species
AGAGUAAUUAUAAGUAGCCGCUAACUAACUUUAUUGCGAUUAAAUAAUCGUUUUACUCUU